UACAAUGUACUAGUUCUGCAACUAGUUACGCGGGAAGCGAACGCGGACCAGUCGAAAAAGAACCGAAAAACGAAGCCGCCUUCGGUUUGUUUUUGAAGGCGGCAAACAACCGCAAUUCCGUGGAGUUACAGUGCCCACUCAGCUGGUUUUUACCGAGCCACUCGUGGAAUGAAAGAGACAAGAAUUUACACAAACAAAAUGCAUUUGUUUUCCUCGUUUGCUUUAUGCGUUGAUUUUGUUCACUUCUGUACAACAUCUAAUCGCUGGAAGAGUCUUUUGUGUAAACAUUUAUUAAAAAAGUGGAAAAGAAUUAAUAAAUAAAUCAAAUUAAUAUAAACAGACUCCGUAAGAGUGAAAGGGAAGAUAACAUUGCAAAGUUAGCGUUGUGCAGGAAAGAUAACAGAUAACAGCAAUGAAAUCGAUUCUCCAGCCAGCUGGCGUUUUGAGCGGCUUAAACUUUAUUUUGAGUGAGAAAAUUGUUCUAGCCUAUAACGUAAGGGAAGAAGGCCCUUAGGACCCACAAAGAAUUUUUUGCAGCUUUGCUAGAAUGUAUUCCGCCUGGCGAUGAGCCCCCCGAAAACACUGUGCGGAAGGCAAUGCAAGGGAUGAAGAAAAGGGUGUUUAAGAAGAAGUGUCUUGCCAAAAACCAGGAGUAGGCUAAGCAUCAUAUAAUUAAAAAUUAUUCGUUAUAAUGAAA